AGCUGACUUAUGCACCAAUCAUUCAUAAUAAUACAAACACACAUGCUAUUGGUUCUUCUUUUCUGGAGAACUCUGACUAAUGUAAUAAGAUUAAAUGACCACGAGAGAUAGGUAAAUGAGGAUGGAGUUGGCAUGGAUGGGAUUAGACCCCUACAAAGAAUUCAAAGAACUAGCUUGUUCAUUUUCUGUGAAGUGAAACAAGAAGUAGGUAACCUGAAUAGGAACUCUUUCAAUAACCUGACCACACUGGAACUUGGACUUCCAAGCAUUGAGAAAUGCUGUUUCCAGUCUUUAGAUUAAAAAAAUAAAUCAAGAUGAAGAUUGCAGAAUAUGAGAAGAUAAUUGCUUUGGAAACAUGAAUUGUUAAGAAAAAAAUAUAGUUACGUUUAUAUGAAGAGGUAAAUGCAGAGACUAGAAGGAGAUAGCUACUACUAAGAAACACCAUAUGGAGCAAAUCUAUUUAAAAGAGAGUUUUCCCAAGAAGAGAUCUACAAAGUCCCCCAAAUUCUCAUGUAUGUGGAAGAUGAUUGGAUUGUGUGGGUGCAGUACUCAUCGGUACAUUGAUCUGUUGAAGCAUUCAGAAGCUGAAUUGCUGUGAGGAGGUGAGAUGUGGCUGAAGGUGUGUUACUGGGAAUAUGACCUGGAAGAUUAUGUCUUUCUCUUCAGCUUCUUCUCCCUUCCUUCUCUGCUUCCUGGAUACCAUGGGUUGAGGAUCUUUUCCUCUGCCAUGCCCCUAUGGCAUUCUGUUCCUGCCUUGGAGUCAGCUGACCAAGAACUGAAACCAUGAGCCAAAUAAAAC
rnacentral:lncRNA from 1 species